ensembl:snoRNA LOC120093476 small nucleolar RNA SNORA40
AGAAUUUAUGUGUGGUUUGGUUCGAUGAAGGCAAAGGCAGGGAAGAUAGAUGAGAAACUGAUCCUCUUUCACAACCAAGAACUCAUUGUUCAGUGUGAGUUUUGAUAUAUAGAAGGGGGGGGAAU